CAGCCGCCACGGGAAUACGAAGGGGGCUAGCGUUGCUCGGAAUCACUGGGCGUAAAGGGUGCGUAGGCGGGUCUUUAAGUCAGGGGUGAAAUCCUGGAGCUCAACUCCAGAACUGCCUUUGAUACUGAAGAUCUUGAGUUCGGGAGAGGUGAGUGGAACUGCGAGUGUAGAGGUGAAAUUCGUAGAUAUUCGCAAGAACACCAGUGGCGAAGGCGGCUCACUGGACUGGUAUUGACGCUGAGGUGCGAAAGCGUGGGGAGCAAACAGGAUUAGAUACCCGAGUAGUCCCUGUCUCUUAUAC
rnacentral:rRNA from 1 species